GGAAUAUUGCGCAAUGGGCGGAAGCCUGACGCAGCGACGCCGCGUGAGGGAUGAAGGUCUUCGGAUUGUAAACCUCUGUUAAGCAGGGAAGAGAACGGACGGUACCUGCUGAGGAAGCAUCGGCUUACUACGUGCCAGCAGCCGCGGUAAUACGUAGGAUGCGAGCGUUGUCCGGAUUUACUGGGCGUAAAGAGCUUGUAGGCGGGAAUGCACGUCUGUGAUGAAAUUGCGCGGCUCAACCGCGUAGCUAUUGCAGAUACGGUAUUUCUUGAGGGCAGAAGAGGAGAACGGAAUUCCCAGUGUAGCGGUGAAAUGCGUAGAUAUUGGGAAGAACACCAGCGGCGAAGGCGGUUCUCUGGUCUGUCUCUGACGCUAAAGAGCGAAGGCGUGGGUAGCGAACG
rnacentral:rRNA from 1 species